GGGAUAUAAGUAUCCGAGUAGUUCCGCGUACGAGUCUCUUUUGAGUUACAAAACUCAAAACAUUUCGUCAUUAAUUUUCAUUUUAUCCGUUUGAAAUAGCGUUUACGACGACGUAUUAAAAAUAUCCGUUUUUUAUGUAAAAUACGACAAAAUAGAGAAACUAGUGUUUUGUUCUUUUUCUCUUUAAUAUAUUACUUACUUACCGUGAGGAAGGACGAAAAGAAAACUAGUAUAUUUACUAUAUUGAUUACUCUAUGAAUACAAUAACUCUAACCUCGAGAUGCUUGUUCCUAAUAUUGUUAAAUUAGGUAAGCUCGAUCUAUACGAAAUGACGAUUGUUACCACGUCGUGUUUCCGAUACUUACAUAUAUACGUUCCAUUUUGCGCUUACGUUUCAUAAAGAAACGAACAUUCUCGGUGACGGUUAAGAAAAGGUUAAACUAGCUACCUAGUUAGCUUGCUCGCUUUGAGAUCAACCGCAGCUGUAGGUCUCUAGGUAGCUAGAAAUGGCAGCUGCAGCUGUCGUUGUAAUUUGCGAUCCGUUUCACGUCGCCUUCGUGAACGCGAUAGAAAGAGGCGGAGGAGGAGGAGGAGAAGGAGAUUCGAAAGAUCGAGACCUCAAAGCGUUGGGCUUUAACAUCAGCAUCAGCAUCAGCAUCAGCAUCAACAUCAGCCACAUACUCUUUCAACCCGAUGUUGUUGAUCGAUACAGCAAAUACUUAGAACGUCGUCGUAGUUAAAAAAAGCGCCGGCACGUGUUUCACUACUUGAAUUUCAAGAAUCACGUCGUCACGUCGAAGUAUCGCACUGAACAUCAAUACCAGGCAAAACCAACCAGUGCCUUUUUCUUAGAAAAAAGUAAAUACUAAAAAAUUAUAAUUCAACGGAGAUAUCGUUUGAUGACGUCGUACCCAAUAUCAAUAAUUCUCGGAUUCACCGGCACAAGGGAAGCAAAGAGACAGUCGAGCAAUUUUGUAUCCUCAUGAGGAGCAUAUUAAGUAAGAUCAUUGAAACCUUCUUAUUUAUGUUUCAAGAAAUGGGGCCCAUUUUUAUUUUCAGACAUUCAGAUUCUAUAAGACGUUUUGACAAGAAAACACAACGAUCUAAACGUUCACGUAUAGAUAAGUAGUUUUCCCUAAUAUCCGAAACAUAGAGUAAAUUUAUAGACAAUAGUCAAGCGUGUUAUAAGCCGUACGAAAAUAUUUGAAUUGAUAAACAAUUGUUUCCUACGAAAGUUC